CCAGUCUUUAGAGAGAGAGAGAGAGAGAGAGAGAGAGAGAGAGAGAGAGAGAGAGAGAGAGAGAGAGAGAGAGAGAGAGAGAGAGAGAGAGAGAGAGAGAGAGAGAGAGAGAGAGAGAGAGAGAGAGAGAGAGAGAGAGAGAGAGAGAGAGAGGCUGUGUCCCAAUUCCUAGGACGCAUCCUUCGAAGGCUGCAUUCGAAGGCUGCGUCGACGCCGAUUGCGUCACCGCGACGCGCCAAGUGCUGUCCCAAUUCCAAGGGUCCUUCAAAUGCGGCCCACAAAUGCAGCCUUCUUUUCCCGGAUUUGAAGGAUGCAUCAGCUGUAUCCUUCACGGCCCAACGUAUCCAAAGAUCCUUCACGGCCCAACGUAUCCCUCCCAAGAUUCAUUGCGCACUCAAUCAAUGGAGAUGGCGGAGAAUGGCGAUUUAAGUUUUGCAUUUAAAUGGAGCCAGCAGCAUACUGCUCGAUUUAUUCUAUUGAGAGGGGAGAACGAUGAGCUGUUCACCGGAGUGAAAUACUCGGCAAGUGUGGCUUGGGGGACAAUUCUGGAGAAAAUAGGCCUGCAGGGGAAGGUGACUCCCCUGCAGGCAAAGAAAAAAUGGGACAAUUUAAAAUAAAUAAAUAAAGAUUGCAAGUAUCCAGGGUCAGGAGAGGGGGUAGGUGGGAAACCAACUGCUGCCACUUGGCCCUGGUUUGUCCCCAUGGAUAAGGUAUUGGGACAGAGGCAUUCCACCAACCCCCCUGUCCUAAUUGCCUCCAUCCCUGAGAACACACCACGGCCAAGUACAGCAUUGGUGGAUCAGGAGGUGGAGGACAAGGAUCAGGAGGAGGAAAGACAGCGAGGGCCAAGGUCCAGAAAGAGGGACAGAGAGGAAGACAUGUUCCAGAGUCGCUCACUAUCUUCCGAAAAGGACUCAAGACUCACCUGUUCAGAGUCCACCUCGACUCUGCAUAGCCACCCUCCCCCUUCUGGCCACCAUUGUACACUGUGUUGUAUUGUAUUGUAUUAUAGUACUUAACUGUGUAGCAACUGCAGUAGCUGCUAUUAUGGCACAGGGAAUUGAUUAGCCUAGCGAUUGUGGUACUUGCACUUUGUUCUAUGAACAUCCUUUCUGUACCGACAGCGAUAUAUAGAUGCACUUCUUAUGACAAAUGUACUUAUUGUAAGUCGCUUUGGAUAAAAGCGUCUGCUAAAUGCCCUAAAUGUAAAAUGUAAAUGUUCCAGUUAAUAAAGAGGACAUGAGGCUACAAAGGGAGGAGAGAAGAGCCCAGGAGAGCAGGGAAAGAAUGGAUAGGUUUUUCUCAAUUUUGGAGCGUUUGGUGGACAAAUAACUUAUGUUCUUUUAUAUUUAACACAUUGUUUAUUAUUAUUUACAUAUUUAUUGAAACUAACUUAUUUAACUAUUUAUUAACUAACUAUUUAACUAACUUUUUUUGUAUUGACUAAUGUAGUCGUAUAUAACUUAUAAAACAUAUAUAAAAUAAAACUAUUUACAACAAAAAACCUUCAUGUGACUAUUUACAAUUAUUAUAUAACUACUAUAUACAAAAACAUAAUGAUCAAUAAUAAUUAUUGUUGGUUUCUUUGUUCUUUUUUUCGCGCUGUCCGGUUUAACUUCUGUUUACUAAGGGUUGCUAGGUGACAGGAGCAGCGCGUGGUCACGCAAGAUAAAGGGCGGUAACGGUUCGUUACGUAAACCGGAAAUGCUCCGUAGGCUAGACCGUCCCAUUUCUUCGGCCUACGGAGUGUCCUUCGCGGUCUACGAAGGCCGCAUCCUUCGAAGGACGCGGUCUACGAAGGAUGCGUCCUAUGAAUUGGGACACAGCCGCUAUGAUCUCGCAGACAGGGUGGUCACGUGGUUGUCACGUGGUUCAUGUAAGCCUCAAUAGUUCCAAACACACCGCGCAGUCAAUGUUAUUCUAUGGGACGACAGCAGAGAUUUCAAUAUUGAAUGGUAAAUAUGAAUGAAAAAAACACAUACAAGUAUUUGUCUGACUGUUAUGGCAUUAUUGCAUAUUUGUUAAUGUCAGUUUUACCUUUAGAGUGGUUAGAUACGUUUUUAAGAUUGAGGGAAAGCUUCACGUUCGUGUUAGCAUACUGGCUUAACCUUAAAGGUUGGGUAUGGAAUUCGCUUUUUUGGCCAUUUUUGCAGAAUUACUUGAAAUCCUUAUCAUAACCCACUUACGGCCACUGAGUUAGAAGUACUGAUAUGAAAAUUAAACAAGUCAAUCAUCUGUGGAACGGGCAGGGCUCGAAAAACUCCAGCCAAUGAUUUCCACAGCCACCGAGUUGCAUUGGACAGUAAGUACGUCAAUCAAACGGUCGUACUGCACUCCCCCUCCCCCGCGCCCCGCGCGCGACCUCUUCGUGCAGUACUCGUGACCCAGAGCUCGUGACCCAGGGCCCUGUUUCCCGAAAGCAUCUUUAGCCUAAGUGGAUCGCAGAGUGGGUCGUAUGAGCAUCGUACAGUUUUCACACCGUUUCCUGAAAG
rnacentral:lncRNA from 1 species